CAAUAGCGUAUAUUAAAGUUGUUGCAGUUAGAACGCUCGUAGUCGGAUUUCGGGGCGGGCCGACCGGUCUGCCGAUGGGUACGCCCUGGUCGGCGCGUCCUUCCUUCCGGAGACCGUGCCUACUCUUAACUGAGCGGGGGCGGGAGACGGAUCGUUUACUUUGAAAAAAUCAGAGUGUUUCAAGCAGGCAGCUCGCUCUUGCAUGGAUUAGCAUGGGAUAAUGAAAUAGGACUUUGGUGCUAUUUUGUUGGUUUCGAACACCGAAGUAAUGAUUAACAGGGACAGUCAGGGGCACUCGUAUUCCGCCGAGAGAGGUGAAAUUCUCAGACCAGCGGAAGACGAACUACUGCGAAAGCAUUUGCCAGGGAUGUUUUCACUGA
rnacentral:rRNA from 1 species